rnacentral:rRNA from 1 species
UACGUAGGGUGCGAGCGUUGUCCGGAAUUAUUAGGCGUAAAGGGCUCGUAGGCGGUUUGUCGCGUCGGGAGUGAAAACACCGGGCUUAACUCGGUGCUGGCUUUCGAUACGGGCAGACUAGAGGUAUUCAGGGGAGAACGGAAUUCCUGGUGUAGCGGUGAAAUGCGCAGAUAUCGGGAGGAACACCGGUGGCGAAGGCGGGUCUCUGGGCCGAUACUGACGCUGAGGAGCGAAAGCGUGGGGAGCGAACAGG